rnacentral:rRNA from 1 species
AGGAUUAACGCUGGCGGCGUGCCUAACACAUGCAAGUCGAACGAGGUAGCAAUACCUAGUGGCAGACGGGUGAGUAGCGCGUGGUCAACCUACCGUUGAGUGGGGGAUAACUAGCCGAAAGGUUAGCUAAUACCGCAUACGUCUCCGAGGGGCAUCCCUUGGCGAUAAAAGGAGCAAUCCGCUCGAUGACGGGACCGCGUCCCAUUAGCUAGUUGGUGGGGUAACGGCCUACCAAGGCGUCGAUGGGUGGCUGGUUUGAGAGAGCGACCAGCCACACUGGGACUGAGAUACGGCCCAGACUCCUACGGGAGGCAGCAGUGAGGAAUUUUCCGCAAUGGGCGAAAGCCUGACGGAGCGACGCCGCGUGUGGGAAGAAGGCCUUCGGGUCGUAAACCACUGUCGAAGGGGAAGAUAAUGACGGUACCUUGGAGGAAGCCCGGCUAACUACGCGCCAGCAGCCGC